rnacentral:rRNA from 1 species
GACGAACGCUGGCGGCGUGCCUAAUACAUGCAAGUCGAGCGCAGGAAGCUGACGGAACUCUUCGGAGGGAAGGCAGUGGAAUGAGCGGCGGACGGGUGAGUAACACGUAAGGAACCUGCCUCAAGGAUUGGGAUAACUCCGAGAAAUCGGAGCUAAUACCGGAUAGUUCGACGGACCGCAUGGUCCGCUGAUGAAAGGCGCUCCGGCGUCACCUUGAGAUGGCCUUGCGGUGGAUUAGCUAUUUGGUGGGGUAACGGCCCACCAAGGCGACGAUGCAUAGCCGACCUGAGAGGGUGAUCGGCCACACUGGGACUGAGACACGGCCCAGACUCCUACGGGAGGCAGCAGUAGGGAAUCUUCCACAAUGGACGAAAGUCUGAUGGAGCAACGCCGCGUGAGUGAUGAAGGUUUUCGGAUCGUAAAACUCUGUUGUAAGGGAAGAACACGUACGAGAGGGAAUGCUCGUACCUUGACGGUACCUUACGAGAAAGCCACGGCUAACUACGUGCCAGCCGCCGCAGUAA